UUCUGCCCAGUGAGCUAAGUGGUGCCAAGGGUGGAACACCCGAAGCAGAGCACUUUCAGGGUCCCUCAGCUGUGGCGCGAUGUGCGGCGGGCACGGACAAGACUCCACUCACCCCGCACAGGUCUCCGAACCUUGGGGCACCAGCUUGGCAUGGAUCCUAGGCUUCUGAUAUCCUUGCCACCUACUGGCUGAAGAGGAGGAAGAAGAGGAUGGGUUGGUCUUGAUGUCUCACGGGUGGCAGAGGCAGAAGAAAAUCCAUCUGGACAUGCACCAAGGAAAAGCCAAGUGAGCACACAGUGGGAUGGCAGCUGUCUGCAGCCUCCCUGGAAGAGGAUCCUCUGCAGCCUUCCUGGAAGAGGAUCCUCACAAGAACCCACCAUGUUGGCACCCUGACCUUGGACUUCCAGUCUCCAGAAUUAUGAGAAAAUAAACAUCUGUUGUUUAAGCCACUCAGUCUGUAGUGUUUGGUUAUGGCAUCCCAAG
rnacentral:lncRNA from 10 species